CUGGGGCUCUGCUGAGGAGCUCGAGCUGGGCUGGCACCACCACAGGGAGCCUGGGCCAAGCCACCAGCCCAGGCUACAGCUGUGGAAGACUGGGACACAUGGCUGGGCUUUUUCUGAGGCUACCAGAAAGGUCACCCAUUAUCCAUCCUGUUGUGGCACCUGCAGGAGCCCACUCAUCCCCUACAGCCAGCAGAGAGAGGGGCAGGAAGCCAACAGGUGCCACCAACCUCUUUGCACAGAUGUGCCUUGACUAGGAAUCAAACAUGCAAAGCCUGCACUGAACUCACCAGCUGCAUUUAAACCACCCUUAGAUGGCAAGGGGAAGUGCUGGAGGAAAGAAGAACAUUCUUAUAAUUUAUACCCAGACUAUCUAAUCAGAGAUGGUGUCAGGUCUCAAUAAGGAGGCACAGGAACCCAAACUGAGCACAGUACAGAAUUAGCUAGGGAUUCAGUUCGGACUCCUAUCACUGUGGCCAUCCACUAUUAUUGAACCAAAGAAAACACAGGAUCCAGGAGAGUUCACUGAGGCUGUUGCAUAGAACCCUGAGUCAUGUACUUGUCUUUUCAGACCUUAGAGAUUACUAAUUUCAGAAAGCUGGGUGAAACCUGGCUGGGUUUAAUCCACUCAUGUCUUUUUAUGCUCCAUCAAUCUCAAAGUGGGUAAGAAAAUUGCUUAAUAAAUUCUUUAACCAGUAGUGUCCCUGUAAUUAAAUGAGGCCAAAUUA